CACACACUCACACACACUCACACACACUCACACACUCACACACUCACACACACUCACAGUAUUUGGGAUCUGUCCAAAGGCUUUCAGCACAUACCAUGAUCAUGUCCCUGCUGACUCAGUCACGUGAUUGUCACAUGAUGGGGAUCAUCACCACCACCACUAUAAAGUCUUUCCAUCGGUCUUCAAACAUAAAACAUCCUAAUUUUGUCAAAUAAAUAAAUGAAUAAAGCCUCAAUAUUAAAAUAUAUCUAAUAUCGUCUAUACUGUAUGUCAUUCUGUUACACUGUGGAGCUUCUGUCACUAAAACUAAUUCCUCGCAUGUGAAAACAUGCUCGGCAAUAAAGCUGAUUCUGAUUCUGAUAAAUAUACCUCAGAAUUGCACCGUGGAGUACAGAUUGCUUGAUUUAUCUUGUUCAAGAAGUUUUGAUAAACGUAGGUUCAUUAUAAUCUAUAAAAGUUUUGCAUAUGGUUAUAAUUGACAUUCACUCAGGCUGAAAUACAAACGCCUUCUGCCUCACUAUUAGAGCACUACACAGAGCGCGCGCUCACGUGGCUUGGGGCACUUACGUCAUGACGCACGACCGUCGCGCGCGCGCUCAGAUGCACAGGCAGGAGGUUGUUGUCCUCAGAGACCACAUGGAGUUCACAUCAUCUUCUCUUUGACUGACUGAAAUCCUCAUGAAGUGUAAUCCAACUGGAGCUUGUACAUCUCUAGAUGCCUCAGGAUCCUCACAGGGUCGGCCUCUUCUCACCGUAGAUCCGAGAUCCGUAAAAAAAUUGUUGAGCACACAUUUUUCACACUACUCCAAAGUGCUUUGGCGAGAAUGUGACCAAAGAGCAACAAAAAGAUCUCAAUGACGUGACGUUUCUGCCCUAUCCGCUUUGGGUCCCAUAAGCUUCUAGCUCAAGAGCUCAUCUAGUCCAUGAUCCAGCAUAUGAGCACAUUUCACCAGCCAGGCAGUUAACACUUCAAACCAAUUUGCUGCUGCAAUGACUUUCGGUGUUUUACAUGGCUGCCUUUUUAAGCCAGUAAAUUUGGUUGAAGUUCCAAGUCCUUAAAAGGAGACAUGGUAGGGGAAGUAUGAGAAGUGUGUGAUUCACAUGGUGAUAUAUGUCUUUUUUUAUUUGCAUUUUAAAUGAAGUAAUCCAAG